UACGGGGGGAGCAAGCGUUGUUCGGAUUUACUGGGCGUAAAGGGCGCGUAGGCGGCCACUGCAAGUCAGUUGUGAAAUCUCCGGGCUUAACCCGGAAAGGUCAACUGAUACUGCAGGGCUAGAGUGCAGAAGGGGCAACUGGAAUUCUCGGUGUAGCGGUGAAAAUGCGUAGAUAUCGAGAGGAACACCUGCGGCGAAGGCGGGUUGCUGGGCUGACACUGACGCUGAGGCGCGAAAGCCAGGGGAGCGAACGGG
rnacentral:rRNA from 1 species